ACGCUCGACACCUACGAGAGGCAGCAGUGGGGAAUAUUGCACAAUGGGGGAAACCCUGAUGCAGCGACGCCGCGUGAAGGAAGAAGUAUCUCGGUAUGUAAACUUCUAUCAGCAGGGAAGAAAGUGACGGUACCUGACUAAGAAGCCCCGGCUAACUACGUGCCAACAGCCGCGGUAAUCUGAGCGGGCUGGCAAGGC
rnacentral:rRNA from 1 species